rnacentral:rRNA from 1 species
AACAACAGGGAUUACCUCAGUAACGGCGAGUGAAGCGGUAACAGCUCAAAUUUGAAAUCUGGCUCUUUCGGGGUCCGAGUUGUAAUUUGUAGAAGAUGUUUCGGGUGUGGCUCCGGUCUAAGUUCCUUGGAACAGGACGUCGUAGAGGGUGAGAAUCCCGUAUGUGACUGGCUGCCUCCGCCCACGUGAAACUCUUUCGACGAGUCGAGUUGUUUGGGAAUGCAGCUCAAAAUGGGUGGUAAAUUUCAUCUAAAGCUAAAUAUUGGCCAGAGACCGAUAGCGCACAAGUAGAGUGAUCGAAAGAUGAAAAGCACUUUGGAAAGAGAGUUAAACAGUACGUGAAAUUGUUGAAAGGGAAGCGCUUGCAAUCAGACUUGCGCGCGGCCGAUCAUCCGGGGUUCUCCCCGGUGCACUCGGUCGCGUUCAGGCCAGCAUCGGUUUGGGUGGUGGGAUAAAGGCCUUGGGAAUGUAGCUUCUUUCGGGGAGUGUUAUAGCCCUCGGUGCAAUGCCGCCUAUCCAGACCGAGGACCGCGCUUCGGCUAGGAUGCUGGCGUAAUGGUUGUAAGCGACCCGUCUUGAAACACGGACCAAGGAGUCUAACAUCUAUGCGAGUAUUUGGGUGUUAAACCCAUAUGCGUAAUGAAAGUGAACGGAGGUGAGAACCCUUAAGGGUGCAUCAUCGACCGAUCCUGAUGUCUUCGGAUGGAUUUGAGUAAGAGCAUAGCUGUUGGGACCCGAAAGAUGGUGAACUAUGCCUAAAUAGGGUGAAGCCAGAGGAAACUCUGGUGGA